UCCCAUUGUUACUGUCAGUGAAAGGAUCCUUAUGGCACAGGAGUUCACAGGCAAACUGGUUCCUCUGUAUGUAAGCACAGAGAAGGCAAGUGUUGGACAAACUCCUACCUGUUUUGUUUACCUAAGAAGAAGCCAGUUUCAACAUUUAUCAUCAAAAUGUCACUCAGUAAAUAAAAAAUCUGACUUCUUCAAAAAAUGUCACGUAAGAGACAAGAUUAGCACUGGUGGGUCGAACCAAGGAAGAAGCUCCAUAGCAGAAAACUGGUCAGACCAGUAAGCUGUGUACUAUGAGUACACUGACAGUUCUGUGUCAGUUCCUAUCAAUCAUCAAAUGGGAUGCUAAAAGAAAGUGAGCAUUCAACAGCAGCAACCAUCCUUCACUGCUGGUGUCGGGAACACAUGGGUUGGUCCUUCUAUGAAUUACACACCCAUCUGUGCUUCCAGCAAGAGAAGACUGUCAGACCAUAGCUGCUAUAGUGGGACCACCAGUAGGGGUAAUGCCAAGAUCCCACUGGGUGGAGACAUAUGUGCUAUCAAGUACCAGGAACACUUCCCAUAGCAGCAUGCAGGAUUGUCCCAUGCCAACAGGGCAAAAGUCUUUAAUAUUAUCACUGUGCUAGAACCCCAUGGAAUUAGAUCACGUGCUUUGAUCUUGCUGUGCAAUACACCCCUGGCAAAAAGCUGGAAACCAGUUGACCAGAAAGCCCUGAAAUAUGGAAAUUCUGUUAUCCAUAAAGUGAUCUUUUAACAGACCAUUCUUAGUAAGUCAAUAAGUAAGUUAGGUUGAAAAAAGACAUACGUCCAUCACAUUCAACCAUAAUGCCUAUACAUAACCUGCCUAACUUCUAGUUAGAUUGACUUUUCUCUUUGUGCCAAGAUCCAAAGCUUUUCAUUUACAUAUGUGAGUAUUUAAACUACCCAAAAUGGGUUUCUGCCUUGACCAGUGUCUAUAAAUAAGAAGAGCCCACAGUAAAAUGUGCUGUGAAAGCCACUGAUACGGGUGCAAAUAUCCAGCUGUCAUAGAAGGGACAUAACUCAACAGCAAGAAGGCAUAAUUGGAGUCUGCCUGAAAAUGCAUAACCCGGGGGACUUUUUACUAACCAGUCAAGGACACCCCCAUACUAAAGCCAGUACUCCUGCACAGUCAAUAUGCUCUCUUUACUGUAUUUAAUUUACAUAUAUUUCUGGCCUAAACUGGUCUGGAGCAAUGUAAACAUUUUGAUGUCUCAAUUCUUACUUUUUUGGGUAAAAUACACAAGCAAUUUGUCAGCAUUUAUCUCUCUACCCUUGGGCGACAAGGUGGUUUAUUUGAAAAUAUUUUCAAUAGUCUUCUUACUACUUUUGAAACUACACAGAAAUUACACAGAAAAACAAUGGGGAUUGGGAAAAGAUCCACAAAACCAAAGGUUCAAAGUGCGCCUCUUGUCUUUCGAGUGAAGGAAGUUCUCCUACAUACACAUAGAUUUUUACAGAAUUAUUCCAAACAUUUUUUUUUUGUUUCAAAAGGUGCAAGUGAAGUUAUUAGAUCCUAUACCCAGCAGAUUCCAUGCAGGGCUCGUUUAUUCACAGAAUGCUAUCACAGCCUCAGCUUUACUUGUUAUUGUGCUGGCUGAAGCUGAGACUGCUGCCCCUUCAGGAAGGGAUACCGUAGCAACCAGGAGGUCAGAACAUCUUGAGUUGGGGGGGGGGUUAUCACUUACUUAUGGAGGGUUCCCACGUGCAUUCUGUAGCACACAUACAACUGCAGUCUGCUCCAAACUUAACUUUAGCAAGGGGUCCGGGCUGUGUGCAUUCCCUAUUAAAUAGAAUAACUAUUAAAUUCAGAAUAACUAUUACAAACACAAAGAGCCAGUUUUUUUAUGAUUGAUGACAGGGCUAUAGAUUUUCCUUAUUACAGGGAAAACUAAUACAAUAUCAAAAUGGAUGCAAUCCAUUUUGGGUUGGAUGGUUACACAUAUAGUUUCAAAUAUGUAACUUUCUCUGUGGACUAUGCCCAUAAAGUGCUGAAAGAGUGUAGCCAUUAAAGUUCACUACUCACACAGGGUAUUUCCCGACUUUUACAAAUGCUUAGGGCAGAAUAAGCCUUGCUAUCUCAUCCAACCCACCUGGCAUACAAGAUUAAUUUUAAACAAAUUACAGAAACACAUUAAUAUAAAGUUUUCUAUUUUGCCUGGUCCCAGGGGUGCUAACAGAAGACUCGAUAUUUCUAAUAGACCGUGUGGACUUAAACCCUUGGCAUUGGUAUUCCCACCAUGUGUUUGUGGUAUAAUGAAACUGAUGGUAAUAACAGUUGGUUUGAACACUUUUGGUUCUCUUUCUUGACUAAUGACAUUUUUCAGUGAUUACAUAUUAAAGUGCUUUGGCACAAGCAUUUGUCUAU